UCAACAACUAAUUUUAGUCUGUGACUCAGGAAGCACAGGCAUAUGAUUCUAUAGCAUUUUUUUUCCUGUUUUUUUCAAUUGGUACUGAUCUUUGGGCUGCUACCUUACUAAACUUUAGGCUGCUGUCAACUAAUUUCCAAUUGAUAAAUCUGAUUUGUGUUUGGUUCCUGAGCAUUUGCCACAAGCAAAGAGAAAUGAAAACUAAAAUAUACUCAGAUGAAAGGGCUGGAGUUAGGAUGGGUUGAUUAGUAUAAGUAGUCCUGACAAAAAUAUUGUUUCUGAUCAUUUUUUUUUGUUUGUGCCUGUAUUAUAUUUUUUCUAUUCCAGUAUUUUUUAUAACCAUGAUAUUAAUGUUAACAUGUUGUGAGCAUGAAUGUCAUCUUCUUUGCCCCGCUAAUGACACCGCCCGCGCUAAUCCCCUGCCCAGCUCCCUUGUUCGGCAAGGCGAGGCAUGGGGAGAAGCGCAGCGAACACGGUUCCAGUGUCGGCCUUCUGGAGGCCAAGGCCAGUGGCAGGCUGCUGACAUGCUUGGCAUGGCCAGCGGCAACAAGAGGCGGGGACACGAGGACCGAUUGGAACAACAUAUGGAGUGUGAAUUCAAAUGGUUAUUUAUUGUAAUAUGAAUGUGUUUAACUUAGAGUGGAUAUAUUGUUAGUAGGUUGGAGGAUGAAAAGAUUUUCCUUGCUGCUAUGUGAAGCUGCUGAAGUCCCGGUGUUGUAUAUCUCAUGGAUCACUAUGGUGAGCAAGGCAAACAAGUGAAAU
rnacentral:lncRNA from 1 species